CUCUCUCUAGUCACACUUUUUAUACCUAGUUCAUAACACACUUCUAUUUACUAAAAUGCUCUUUCACUUAUCCUAGACCUAAAUCCUCCUUUCUUAAGCUCAAUCACUUAUUCUUUCUACUACUAACUUAUUCCCUCUAAUAAAUAAAUCAUAAACACACAUAAACAAUUAAAUCAAUUAACCACAAAUAAACAAAUAUUCCUAAUAAUAAAAUUGGGAUGUUACA
rnacentral:lncRNA from 1 species